UGUGUGCGCGCGCGCGCGCGAGGUUGGCCCUUAACCCCCGUGUUGUUCAAGGGUCAACUGUACUUUAAAAACCUAGGUAAAAGUUUGUAAAAGCUGAGAGGCAGUACGGCGGUGUGGUCAUGAGGACAUCCCACUGUUAUCCAACCCGGGCAAGCUGGUUAACCACCCCAGGCCUCAGUUUCCCCAUCGGUGACCAGGGCAGCUUGUUGGGUUGUGAGCACUGAGUGAGGGAACAUCCAGCAGGUGUUUAGACAGGGCCUGGCUCGCCCUAACGGCUUAGUAAUUGUUAGCUUUUUUCUGAUGUUAUUCUGCACGUAGGUCGACCUGUAUCUUGUGUAUUUAAAGACAAGACCGACCCACUCUCUCACUUAAACCCCACUAUUUCCCUGCACCCUGGAUGCCGGCUGCGCCGAAAGCAUCUCGUUCCAGAGCUUCAGGCUGUGCUCAGCUCGCUGCCUGGAAUUCUCCCCCCUCCUUCACUUCUCUCCAAGCCACACCUGCACCUCCAAGGCUCCGGGGUCCAGGGGCGAACCUGAUGGGCCUCAGUGCCAUGUGAGACCUGGCUGAACCCUGUCUAUCAUCUAGCUUGCUGGCCCUCAGCAUGAUGUCGGGAGAUGAAGCAUCCCGCUUCCCAGCUGUCCACCAGCCGAAAGGUCCCCCGCCCUCCACGUGCGCUGGGUCACGUGUGCGCCGUGAGGGGGAGCCGACCCUGACCGCACCGCUUUGGUGCCCAGAGAAUGAAUUUACCAGGUGGCACCUGGUGGGAUGUGGCCCCGGGAGACUCUUCCUCUCCACUGUACGGGUGUCACCAAGGUCCUCCCAGGUCUCAGCUCGAGGGGGCACUGGGCUCUUUGGCUGCCCGAGAUGCACAGAGGCACCUGGGCAGGUGGCGGGCGGCACAGCUGCUUCUGGGCUCUCCCUGCCUUCCCCUCCCCAGGGUGGGUCCUCACCUAGCGCCGUCACGGUGUGCUGUCUCUGGGUCGUGGGCACCUGUGGGUGCCUGUCUGGGAAAGGGCAGCUGCCUCGGAUGCUGGGAAACACACUUGUCCCCGAAGGAGGGGGCAUGCCUCAGUCUGACACGGUGGGUGGUCUCCUGUCUUUGGCUAAAUGCCCUUAAACCUUCCACUGCUCCGAUACAAUCAACUCUGCUGCCCUAAAUGAUAUUUGAAAUCUGCUCUCUUUAAAUAGCCAGGGACUCCAGGUUGACAAUUCAAAAGCCAAAUCACACCUUCAGAGAAGCUGCUGGGGGUCCUGCGCCUUUUACGGAGGUCAGUCCUUCCGACCUCCUUCGUGUGGGCCUGGGCUUUGCAUCCGUGCCACAGGUAGAUGAGGGCUUUGUGGACGUUGAGGACGACCAUGGACGUCCUGGACCUCAGGCUGCUGCAGUGACAGGCCACCUCCAGCAAGUUCCCUUCCACGGGCACUUCUCCGCGCACACAGUACAGCCUCCACUCGCCUGCAGGGGGCACCAGUGGCACAGUCAGGACGUGGCGGCGCGGGGAGGGGGCCUGGAGGGAAGGGGAGCCUGCAGGGCAGCCCACACCCCGCCUCCUUUCUGUGUCUGGAGGGGCAGGUGGAGGCGAGGCCAGGCUGCGGUCUUACUGAGUCCCAGGAAGCCAGUUUUGUUGGAGUUAUAGUUAGAAGCAGGCUGCCCAGAGUGCACGAUGCAGAAAAACCAGUUUUACAUAAUUUAUUUAUAAAGAUCUAGGUAAGUCAUAACAGGCAUAUUUUUUUAAGAGGCUCUGAAACUAUGCUUUCUUUUUUGUUUUUUGGAUGCUGGUCAACAAAAAUCUCAUAAUUUAGAAGAGAAGAUCACUAGUUUUUUUUUCCCCCUCCAGGAUCCAGUUUAAGGUCGGGUCAUCUUGCGGCCUCCUUUAUGCAAAGCUGCUUUCUGAAGGCAACUCCAUGGAAGGAAGGGGGAGGGAGGCACCCAGGAAGCUGAUUUAUGAGGCAGACAUCAGGAGGCCUUCGCUGGUCAGGCCGCAGCUACAUGAAGAGAGAGUUACUCUAAAGCCCACGCCUAUAAAAAUACCUUCCCGGAGAGGAGAACAGAGUCGAAUUCCAGCAGCAAAAGUGACUCACUCUGUGCGUUGUCUUCUUCCUCCUCCCGUCUCCCGGAGUGGACCACCAUCCCUCCCUGGAAACACUGCAGAAAACAGGGGGGCUCCUUGCCCUGCAGGACCUGGACCUUCCGAUUUAAACACAUUACAGUGAGUCACGUGCCCUGGUUUUGCAGAGUCAUAAAAAUAACACAUGCCUGUUGUCGAAAAUCUGAAAAAUACUGAGAAGUACAAAUAAAAGCCACUGAUGAUUUAUCGAGAACACUACUACAGUUCUGGCGUGUGGCUUUCCUAUAAUACAAAGUAUUUUUCAGGUAUACAUUUUUCCCAAAUAGGAUCGCUGUUUAUGUUGCUUUAUCCCUGGAUUUUCUUCAGCUGACGUUUUUCUGUCGUCACAUAAAGAUUCUUAACAUGAAUUUUGAUAUUUUAAUGGUAGUGUUCCACGGUACGGAUAUAACGUGAUUAACUUAAACAUGUUUUUAAUAAAGAAGAUCUCUCAGCAGUGAGAAUGGCUAAUCCCUGACUUA